rnacentral:rRNA from 1 species
UUAUUUUGAAAGUUGAAUUUUAAUUGUGUAAAUUGAUUAUAUUGAUGUUUAAUAAAAGUAAUUUUAUUUGAGAUUGUUUAAGUAUAUUUUUAGAAAAAAUUUUGAUUUUAUAGUGAAGGAGUAUUGUAGGAGAAUGAUGAAAUAAUUGAAAGAAAGAUUAAUUAAAAGUAAAUUUAUGUUGUACCUUGUGUAUCAGGGUUAAUUUAAUUGGCGUUAUAGAUUUAUUCUUCUCGAAUUUGAGAGAGUAAAGAUAUUAAGAAUGUAAAUGUGGUAUAAUUUUAUUUAAUGAUAUUUUGGUAAUGAAAUGUUAUCGUUCUCGAAGAUAUCUAGUUACUUAAGAAAUGAAUUGAAUUCAGGUAUUUGGUGGUGAUGUUUGUUUAUGGAAAUAAACUAUGUUAAUACUAAUUAUUUAGGGGAUUAGCUCUAAAUAAUGAUUAAUAAUGGUAGGGAUAUAUUUGAAAAUGAGACUUUAGAGUAGUUGGGUUUUAAGUGUGUUAUAACUUAUUUAAGUUACAUAUUAUUUAGGGAAAUUUUAAUAAUUUAUUGAGUCGAUUUUAAUAGUAGGUGUAAAAUGUGAUAAUGAUUAAAUUAGUAUAGUUAGGGUUGCAAUAGCAGUAAUUGAUUUCUGAGAAUUUAUAAUGAGGAAUUAGGCAAAUUAUAUGCUCGCCUGUUUAACAAAAACAUGUCCUUUAGGUUAUAUUUAAGGUCUGACCUGCCCACUGAAUAUUUUAAAGGGCCGCGGUAUUUUGACCGUGCAAAGGUAGCAUAAUCAUUAGUUUUUUAAUUGAGGACUGGAAUGAAAGGUUGGACGAGGUAUAGACUGUCUUUAUAUAAAAAAUUGAAUUUAACUUUUUAGUGAAAAGGCUGAAAUGUUUAUAGAGGACGAGAAGACCCUAUAAAGUUUAAUAUUUAUAUGCUAUGAUGAGUUUUAGUAGUGUUUAAAUUUUUGUGUAUAUAUAUAUAUUUGGUUGGGGUGACUAUAAAAAUUGGAAACUUUUAUUUUUGUUUACUUAGAUGAUAGGAUAAAUGAUCCAUUAGUAGUGAUUAAGAGAUUAAAUUACUUUAGGGAUAACAGCGUAAUUUUCUUUGAGAGUUCUUAUCGACAAGAAAGAUUGCGACCUCGAUGUUGAAUUAAGGAAAUUGAUAGGUGUAGUAGUUUAUUAAAUAAGUCUGUUCGACUUUUAAAUCCUUACAUGAUUUGAGUUCAGAUCGGCGUGAGCCAGGUCGGUUUCUAUCCUUAUAAGAGGUAAUAUUUUAGUACGAAAGGACCAAAUAUUUGAUAUAAUAUUUUUUUUUGAAUAGUAUU